rnacentral:rRNA from 1 species
UACGAAGGGGGCUAGCGUUGCUCGGAAUCACUGGGCGUAAAGCGCACGUAGGCGGUUUCUUAAGUCGGGGGUGAAAUCCUGGAGCUCAACUCCAGAACUGCCUUCGAUACUGAGAGACUUGAGUCCGGGAGAGGUGAGUGGAACUGCGAGUGUAGAGGUGAAAUUCGUAGAUAUCGGGAGGAACACCAGUGGCGAAGGCGACUUACUGGACACGUAUUGACGCUGAGGUGCGAA